rnacentral:lncRNA from 1 species
GCCCAUGAUGAAAGACAUUAAAGGUCCAACCCAUUAUAAAGGAUGGAUGCUAGAAAAUUCUAGCAUCUUAUCAAAUGCCAAGGAACUAGAAAAAUCUGGUCCAAAUAUGCAUGUCGGUGGAGUGCAUGCAUAAGCUAGAAAGUUCUAGCUGUUUGAAUAAUAUUGAGGCUGUCAUGCAAGCCUAAGUCGGUGGGCUUGUGUAUAAGUCGGCAAAACUCAAUUAUAAAUAGGGGUGCAUGUAUGUAUCAUGAGAUGUGAAAAUACGAAGUAAGAGUGUUCCACUCCAAGAGUGAGGGUUAUAAGAGUUGUUCCACUUUAAAUUUGAGAGUGAGAGUGUUCCACUACACAUUGUGUGUGAGUGAAGUUUAGAGUGAUCAAAAGUGUGUGUUAUACUUUCUUGUAUUCAUCAAGCAUUGUCUUUGGCUUGGUAAGACUGUUCUUGUUGUACUAAUCUUUUUCAUAUAGUGAAGAUUGAUCCUUGUUUUGUGAACGUAUGCAUAAAUUGCCGAAUCAUAUAAAUUCUUGGUGUCCAUUUUCUACUUUACCUUAUGCAUUCUCUAUCUUGUAGUACCGACAUUCCUAACA